CUUCGUCGUGGCAACAGCAUUCAUAGGCAGCUACCAAAAACAAAUAAGCGAAUAGCAAUAAUAACAACAACAACGGGCGGAAAGUCAAUUCGAGCGGUUAAAUAAAAGCGAAAUAAUACGGAUAGAAAAACAACAACAACAAAAACAUAACAAAGGUUACACCAAACAACGAAACUAAAACAGCGAAAAAUCAAAGAAAAGUGUAAAAAUAAAAAAAGGUAUAAAAAAAUAAAGUACAAAAACAAAAGCAAAAAUAAUAAAAAAACGCUUGAAAAGUGGCAAACGGAAAUUGAUGUAUCGAAGUGUGCGAACAAAACCAAAACAAAACUGCGGUUGUGAAAAUUUUUAAACAAAUAGAUACUAGUGAGCAAAGCGAAUAAAUAUUGAAAUAAAAGAGGGAAUCUGAAUAUACACAAAGGCUUAAAAAGUUUUACCAAAAUAAUGAAAUAAAUAAAAAAUAAACCGCAAAGUUAAUAAAACCGUCGGAAGUGUGGCAAUAAAUUUGGUGUCAUCAGGCAAGAGAAAAAAAAAUUACAAAAAAAAAAAAAUAAUAAAAAUAAUUUAAACAGCAAUACAAUUUGAGCAAACGUACAUUUAUACGUUUUUUGGCGCACUUUCCGCUUACAACAUUAAUUUUGGAGCGAAUUUGCCAAGGCUUUACGAGCGCUUAGCUGGCCACCAAUCAGCCAUAACAGCAAAUAAGAAAAAAAAUCAGACAAAUUACAACACUAAUAACGGGGAUUACAACAUCAGCACCAGAAGCCAAGCCAUAUCAGCAACAACUUCAACAACAACAACUGUAACAACGAAAACGGUGGCAACAAUAACCUGCAACAUUCGGGCAAAUCCCAGGGGAGCUGCAGCCAGGCGCAGUGACUUCG